UUCUUCUCUUAAUAAAUUGUAAUCUCAGUCUGAUUUUACUGAGUCCAGCUUCCCUUGAAGACUCUGAGUGGCCACUUCCAUCUAAGAGUGGUUCUAAGUGUUGAGCGAGAACUCUCCCUGACUUGGGGAAAGCCUCUUCUCCUUCUGUCAGAACACUCAGCAUCUUACUGGUGCAUCUGAGAUUGCUUAAGGGCCUAGGCAGAAACCAGAGCAGAUAGAAGAUGAACAGACAGAGUGACUUCCCCAAAGAUGCAUGCUUAGGAAAAGAGAAGUCAACCUCAUCGAGGGCCUGCCGGAUUCUAACUCCUCCUUCUCAGCCACAUCUGAGAAGCCUCCCACUGAGAACCUGCCCUGCUGCUUUAUCCUGGAAUUCUGGCACAAAGCAAUCUCCCAAGUAUGUGAAAGAGUGGUCCGCAGAAUGGCAUGGAUCCAAAAGACGUGAGCUACUGGGACUAAGUUUAAAAACAGCUUUUCAUUUGGGAGCCACCAUAUGGUUGCUGAGGAUUGAACUCAGGACCUCUGGAAGAGCAGGCGGUGCUCUUGAAGAGCACUUAAGGAUAAGAACCACUGAGCCAUCUCCCCAGUCCUCUCCCCUCUUUCUCCCCCUCCUCCCCCCCUCCAAGGGAAACACUAGACUUUGUGUGCACUGCAAAACUGGGAGAUGGAGGACUUAAGGAAACUCAGCUCAAGCAGAUACUGUAAGUACAAGACAGGAGAGAAGUAAUCAAAAGGUUGGAGGAAUGAAUUCUAAUGUCCUACUGCACAGUGGGGGGGGGGUGAUAUAUUAGUAUAUAUUUACAGUAAUUCUAAACUUUAUAAAGAGCUAGGAGUUUGAAACUUCUCUCUCUCUCUCUCUCUCUCUCUCUCUCACACACACACACACACACACACACACACAUACACACAAAUAAUCACAAAUAUUUAAAGAGAAAGGACUGGGGAUGACCCCAACACACAGAAGGCAGAGGUAGGUAGAUUCCUAUGAGUUUGGGGCCAGCCUGAUUUACAUAGUGAGACCCUGUCUCCAAAAAUAUUUUUUAAAAUGAAAGGAAAGAGAUGCUAAUCAUCUCUAUGCUGAAAAUUGCUUUAUAAUAGUGACAUUGUUUGCCAAACUGUGAGCUCUUUAAUGUAGGCUUUUUGUUCAUCUUUACAGCCCUUUCUUAAGUCUGCAUUUCAAGGCUAGUCAUAUGACUACAUGAAAGUGUAACUCAGAGAAAGUUAAAAGAUGGACUGUGGGGGGCUGGUGAGAUGGCUCA